rnacentral:rRNA from 1 species
UGAAUACGAGACGCUACGGCGUCGAAGCAGUCUAUGUCAUACUUCCAAGAAAAGCUCGCUAUGUCAUAAACCAAGAAUGCCUGUACCAUAACCGACACAGGUGGGUAGGUAGAGUAUACUAAGGGGCGCGAGAUAACUCUCUCUAAGGAACUCGGCAAAAUGACUCCGUAACUUCGGGAGAAGGAGUGCCUUAUUUCUAAGGUUGCAAUAACAAGAUCCAAGCAACUGUUUAUCAAAAACACAGGUCUCCGCUAAGUCGUAAGACGAUGUAUGGGGGCUGACGCCUGCCCAGUGCCAGAAGGUUAAAGAAGUUGGUUAGCAUUCGCGAAGCUGAUAACUGAAGCCCUGGUGAACGGCGGCCGUAACUAUAACGGUCCUAAGGUAGCGAAAUUCCUUGUCGGGUAAGUUCCGACCCGCACGAAAGGCGUAAUGAUUUGGAUACUGUCUCGGAGAGGGACUCGGUGAAAUAGACUUGUCUGUGAAGAUGCGGACUACCUGCACCUGGACAGAAAGACCCUAUGAAGCUUUACUGUAACUUGACAUUGAAAUUGGACUUUAUUUGCGCAGUAUAGGUGGGAGGCGUUGAGCAGAUUCUUGCGGGAAUCUGGGGGCCAUCAGUGAGAUACCACUCUUGUAUGUUAGAUUUCUAACUUUGGAUCCUGAUCGGGUCAGAGAACAGUGUCAGGCGGGCAGUUUGACUGGGGCGGUCGCCUCCCAAACGGUAACGGAGGCGUACAAAGGUUUCCUCUGAACGGGUAGAAAUCGUAUCUAGAGUGUAAAGGCAUAAGGAAGCUUGACUGUGAGACCUACAAGUCGAGCAGGGACGAAAGUCGGUCUUAGUGAUCUGACGGUGCUGAGUGGAAAGGCCGUCACUCAACGGAUAAAAGUUACUCUAGGAUAACAGGCUGAUCUCCCCCAAGAGUUCACAUCGACGGGGAGGUUUGGCACCUCGAUGUCGGCUCAUCGCAUCCUGGGGCGGUAGUACGUCCCAAGGGUUGGGCUGUUCGCCCAUGAAAGCGGUACGCGAGCUGGGUUCAGAACGUCGUGAGACAGUUCGGUCCAUAUCCGGUGUAGGCGUUAGAAUAUUGAGAGGAGCCUUCUUUAGUACGAGAGGACCGAGAGGGACAUACCUCUGGUGUACCAGUUAUCGUGCCAACGGUAAACGCUGGGUUGCUAUGUAUGGAGAGGAUAACCGCUGAAAGCAUCUAAGUGGGAAGCCCACCUCAAGAUAAGUAUUCUCA